rnacentral:rRNA from 1 species
GCAUAUCAAUAAGCGGAGGAAAAGAAACUAACAAGGAUUCCCCUAGUAACUGCGAGUGAAGCGGGAAAAGCUCAAAUUUAAAAUCUGGCGGUCUCUGGCCGUCCGAGUUGUAAUCUAGAGAAGUAAUGCCCGUGCUGGACCGUGUAUAAGUCUCCUGGGAUGGGGCGUCAUAGAGGGUGAGAAUCCCGUCUUUGACACGGACUACCAGUGCAUUGUGGUAUGCUCUCAAAGAGUCGAGUUGUUUGGGAAUGCAGCUCAAAAUGGGUGGUAAAUUCCAUCUAAAGCUAAAUAUUGGCGAGAGACCGAUAGCGAACAAGUACCGUGAGGGAAAGAUGAAAAGAACUUUGGAAAGAGAGUUAAACAGUACGUGAAAUUGCUGAAAGGGAAACGCUUGAAGUCAGUCGCGUUGGCCGGGGAUCAGCCUUGCUUUUGCAUGGUGUACUUUCUGGUUGACGGGUCAGCAUCAAUUUUGACCGCUGGAAAAAGACCUGGGGAAUGUGGCAGCUUCGGCUGUGUUAUAGCCCCUAGUCGCAUACAGUGGUUGGGAUUGAGGAACUCAGCACGCCGCAAGGCCGGGUUUCGACCACGUUCGUGCUUAGGAUGCUGGCAUAAUGGCUUUAAGCGACCCGUCUUGAAACACGGACCAAGGAGUCUAACAUGCCUGCGAGUAUUUGGGUGGAAAACCCAAGUGCGUAAUGAAAGUGAAAGUUGAGAUCCCUGUCGUGGGGAGCAUCGACGCCCGGACCAGAACUUUUGGGACGGAUCCGCGGUGGAGCAUGUAUGUUGGGACCCGAAAGAUGGUGAACUAUGCCUGAAUAGGGUGAAGCCAGAGGAAACUCUGGUGGAGGCUCGUAGCGAUUCUGACGUGCAAAUCGAUUCGUCAAAUUUGGGUAUAGGGGCGAAAGACUAAUCGAACCAUCUAGUAGCUGGUCCUGC